UACAGAGGGUGCGAGCGUUGUUCGGAAUUAUUGGGCGUAAAGGGCGCGUAGGCGGUGCGGUAAGUCACCUGUGAAAUCUCCUGGCUCAACUGGGAGCUUGCAGGCGAAACUGCCGUGCUGGAGUGUGGGAGAGGUGCGUGGAAUUCCUGGUGUAGCGGUGAAAUGCGUAGAUAUCAGGAGGAACGCCGGUGGCGAAGGCGGGUCUCUGGGCAGUAACUGACGCUGAGGAGCGAAGGCGUGGGGAGCAAACAGG
rnacentral:rRNA from 1 species